rnacentral:lncRNA from 1 species
GGGGGAUUAAAACUGGCCGAAGGGGGACCUCGGUUUCCGGGCUCCCGGCCGGCCCUCAAGGGCUUCCCUACACGGCCCCGAUUCCCGGCCCCUCCCACCCGGAAACCCGCGGUCGGAACCACGUCUCCCAGCCCCCUCUCUACCCGCAGGAGAGGGGUGGGGGCGACGGCCGCGAAGCCCGGACCCCGCCCCGCCGCCUCUGGGGCGCAGGAUAGAUCCGAGGGCGUCGGCAGGGCUCGAGCCUGACGCCGACCCUCGGCCCUUCAGUCUCCGGGCGUCAAACACCCUCUCCCCACCCAACACCCAGGCCGGAGAAACGGUCUUCAGCCCUACCCCGACCCCUGCCCCAGUCGCUUUCCCCUGGGCUGUGACCUCCCGCCCACCAAAAAAAAAAGUGCGGCCGGCACCCCCGCCACACCCUGCCCAGGCCCAGGGAAGUUCGAAUCAAAGUUGCUCGAGGGCGGCUGGAGAGCGCCCGGCGAGUCUCCGCGGGCCUGGGGCGAGCCCUGGAGGAAGGGACCGCCGGUGGUCUCUCCCAGCCCGCGCCGAAGUCCGCCAGGGUCCCGCGGCCUCACCUGGGCUCCCCAAGGCUGCGCGCUCCUCUCCCGCCGCGGCUCCGGGGCUCUCUAGCUGCGCCCCCCAGCUCCCGCCCCGCCUGCCGCGCGGCCCCGCCCCGGGCUCCAGCCACGGUCCCCUCCCCCGCCCAGUGGCCGCCGGCCUCCCUCAUGUGACGCGGGAACAGCUGCGGCCUGAGUCACUGGGCCCGGCGCGGGGUGGGCCGAGCCCCCUGCCCGGCCAGGGCCACGUGGUCCCUACCCGGAAGAAGGCUCCCACCCCUGCAAACGGAGAGCCGCAAGGGCAAGACCUCGGGGCGCCUGGGGCCCCCCUCUGGCGCCCCGCCUCCGUGCCAGCUCGGGGUAGGAGAGCAGGGCGGAGCGCAGCCUGGGUCACUCUGGUUCAGAGAAGCGGACGAGGGUUCCUAGUCUGAGAAAAGGGGAGGAAGCCCUUACCCGAAGCCACGCUACCCAGUCAAUCAAUACACGUCCGCGUCGGGGCCCGCCCUCUGGGGGAGGAUUGACAAGGUCUGCGCUCCCAACUCCCGGACAGCUCCUGCAUCGUCUGGGAUAGCGAGGGUUUGGGGGAAGACACGAAGGUAGGAAAGGCUUACAUCCUCUGGAUUUCCUCGUCUUAUCCCAGAAGACAAAGCCAGGCUGGAAGCGGGCCAGGGGGUCAAGCUGCCUCCCUCCCUUGUGUGCCAGGGGUGGUCUCCAGAAGGAGCUGAUCUGAACAGGCCAGAGAGUGGGACCGGUCAUCACACCCCCACACCUCCAGCCUCGGACCCACUCCUUGGGCUCUUAGGGUCCUGCCUCAAGAACCACUUCCUGAGUCUUGGUGUAUGUGUGUACACAAAGAAGGAAAGAAGUCUCUAGGGCAAAAGGAAGGAGAUCCGGGCUGGGCUGAGAAGCAUCUUCCAGGAUCACGGUCUUCCCGUGGGACACACCAAGCCCAUUCCGGACCUUGCUCUUCCUGACCAUGGCGGGCAGGCUGUGGAGGAGGAGUGGAGAGCUGAAGAAAGGAGUAUUCAUCAGGUUCCUUAUUGUGCUGCCACUAGAUGCCAGGCAUAUGCUAGGCUCGGGGGCUGCAAGGAGAGGAAGACAGCGGCCCUGUCCUCUGCCAGCAGGCAAAACCAAGUUCUGGCCACACUGAAGAAAGGCAGAAGCCUGCGGUGGCAGCUGGUUAAGUUCAGAGGGAGGGAAAGGGAGAGGAGAAUGGAUUUCACGGAGCAGGUGGAUGUGCUCAAGGUGACCUUGGAGAAUAAAGGGGAGAGCUCCAGGGACA